UUAAAUACAAGCUGUUGUUGGAGAGUUACUAUCUAAUCUCUAGCAGCUGCUUCUCCCAUUAUGCUCUAACACUCAGUGAAGUUUUGCUAUUUUAAGUGUUAUCUGGCGAUUUUAAUAUAUUACCAUAUGUUUAGAUGGUGCUUUAUAUAUGCAUGUAGUGUUACUUUAUGGUUGUUUGAAUAAUUUUACAGAUGCGAAUUCAGAAUUGUGCAGUUAGUGACGGUUCUAAAUAAUUUUAUAUUUUGUGAUGAUUAGCUGGAAAAGAAUUGACAAUGAACAAGAAAGAUGAGGUUUCUAAGAAAGACAAGAUUCAAGUGGUCAAGCUGGACAAGGCUUUUAAAUUGGCCGAGAAAUGGGUCAAAAAUAUGAGUAAAUCUUCAGAGGACCAAUCUACCAAAGGACUAUUAACGGCCUGACCUCCUAGGCUUGGGUUAGGUGCAGCAGUUCCGCGCCAAGCCCCUGUUGCACCUUCAAGUGACCCGGUCGAAAGAAAGUUACGCGGAAAUUUGGAUGCGGCAAAAAGGAAAGCUGCCAAAUAUGCUUUGGAAUCUGUGCCAUCUGCAAGAGAUGAAAGUGUUGACGAAGAUAGUGAAGAGGAGCUAGAGAGCAGGAGCAGAGCAAUUUCCAAAAGACCAGCCACUAAUUCCAAGUCAUCUUUACAGGCAAGAAAAAAGCAGAAGUAGAUUGACUUUGUAUAUUUAAAGCUAAGGUUCCUACCUUCUCUAUAAUGUUACGUCAAUGUUCUGGCAAACAAAUUUCAGCACCAAUAUAUAGACAAAUAUGAUAUUCCCUUAUGCCCUGUUUGGGAACAUGGAUUUCAUUUGAAAUUCUGGAUUUCAUCAAAUAACUUGUUUGGAAGUUUGAAUUUGGAUUUCAUUUGAAAUCCACACAUUCAAAUACUAGUAUAAAUUUGAGAAUUUGAAAUGAGAAAUCAAA